UAUUGGGUCUAAAGGGUCCGUAGCCGGUUUAAUCAGUCUUCUGGGAAAUCUAAUCGCUUAACUAUUAGGCUUCCAGGGGAUACUGUUAGACUUGGGACCGGGAGAGGUAAGAGGUACUGCAGGGGUAGGAGUGAAAUCUUGUAAUCCCUGUGAGACCACCAGUGGCGAAGGCGUCUUACCAGAACGGGUCCGACGGUGAGGGACGAAAGCUGGGGGCACGAACCGGAUUAGAUACCCGGGUAGUCCCAGCUGUAAACGAUGCUCGUUAGGUGUCAGGAACGGUGCGACUGUUUCUGGUGCCGAAGGGAAGCCGUGAAACGAGCCACCUGGGAAGUACGGCCGCAAGGCUGAAACUUAAAGGAAUUGGCGGGGGAGCACUACAACGGGUGGAGCCUGCGGUUUAAUUGGACUCAACGCCGGAAAACUCACCGGGGGCGACAGCAAUAUGUAGGUCAGGUUAAAGGUCUUACCUGAAUCGCUGAGAGGAGGUGCAUGGCCGUCGUCAGUUCGUACUGUGAAGCAUCCUGUUAAGUCAGGCAACGAGCAAGACCCGUGCCCACUGUUACCAGCAUAUCCUUUAUGGAUGAUGGGGACUCUGUGGGGACCGCUGCUGCUAAAGCAGAGGAAGGUGCGGGCUACGGUAGGUCAGUAUGCCCCGAAUCUCCCGGGCUACACGCGGGCUACAAUGGUUGGGACAAUGGGUAUCUACUCCGAAAGGAGUUGGCAAUCUCUUAAACCCAAUCGUAGUUCGAAUUGAGGGCUGUAACUCGCCACUCAUGAAGCUGGAAUCCGUAGUAAUCGCGUUUCAACAUAGCGCGGU
rnacentral:rRNA from 1 species